CUGUUCACCCCUCCUGCAGCGUCAUCUAAAGGCAGCCGAGCUCCACUGGUGGAGCGGCCGGAGCCAAAGCAACGGGGAGACCACAUGGACCGGGAUGCGGCCACUAUCUUGCCGCCUGCACGCCUCCGCACAGCAACACCGUCGGCUUCCCACCUGCCUCCGUCACCGGAUCCAUGGGGCUAUACAGCGAGGCUCACCCCAUCCUGCCACUCGCUCUCCUGCCUGGCUGCUUCCCCUGCUCUGGAGCUGCUCCUCCCACCAGGCAUUGGCAGUCCAUUUCACACAGGGUCAUCAUCCAGUGGAGAGAGCACGGGGAUCAGGCCUCCUCCAGCUCCAGGCCCACCCCUCCUGCUGAGACCACCUGGUCUGGGCCCAGCUCUGGAUGUGCUCCUGACCUAAUCCACAAGAUUAAACAGCACAUUCAUCACUGAACCUUUCCUUACCCAUGGGAAUAUACUGGCACUAGGACAAUUUUGAAAACUUUUUAAACAUUAAAAACAUAUUUCUUGUGAAUUCCGCUGAUAUAUAUGUCAUACACAGCACAAUGAAGGAACCCCCUGGGAACUUACAAUGCCUCAAGGAUCCCAACAGUCAGUGCAUGCAUCAAGAACAAUGACAGACGUAGCAAUGGUUAGAAGAUUAUGGACAGACGGUAGGAGCUGCUGCAUCGGAGCCAUGGGGGAUACAUUUUAUAGAGCACAUAAAAUUGAUAACAGUGAACCCCAAGUAACAUCACACCCAGAAAUCUAAAAAAAACAUAAUGUGUACCAAACAGCAUGUGCCCUGGACUUAUACAGUCACCAAUGCUUGUCUAUUAUUCCCCAGCACUCCCACAACAGCGCAUCCCAUUACAGAAAGAUGCCCCACCAUGAGCCUGUCUGUUCAUCACACAUCAGAUUCCCACCUACCAUGGUAUAUAUUAGGUGAAAAAGAUGGCUUUACAAUAUAGAAAAUUGUGUGAUCGGAAUAAAUGAUAUUACAAGUUGAACCACAACUACUGCUGUAUCUAUUUAAGUUUAUAAUAUCUUUAAAAUAUAAACUGAUUCCAGGGGUAAAUGUUCUACAUUACAUUCCGAUCAUUUGUAGCACAAUCUUUAUCUAAGUGAAGAAAUAUUUUUUGAAAACCUACAUAAACUGAAAGGCAAAAUACAGGCGUUGUUUUGUUCUUGCUAACGUGACUCUUUCCAUUGUCAUCACCAUUCUGUUCACCAAGAGUGCAUACAGAAAAGAUACAUGCAUUUGUGAAUAAGAGGCAAGGGCCUUAAAAGAGGGCAUGUCCACGCCCCCUAAAAAAAUGCACACCCCACAUGGGGCGCCAUUCUAAUCCGAGAGGGUAGGGAGCAGGGGAGGGCACCCGAUUCCAACCUUGCUUGUGGGAAGCAUGUCCCUCCUUCUCAGUCAGCACCAUCCCAGUGAUAUUUGUGAAGAUGUUAGAUAUACACUAAAGAGCAAAGACUGUGCCAGAGUCUUUGCUUUCAAUGGCUGGGCGCCAUCUUCCCGAAGAUAUCACUGGGAAGAUGACGCCGGCCUUAAGUAUAGGUAUACUUGGGAUGGCCCUUCCAGCAGACCAAGCAGGCCCCUUCCGGCAGUGUCCCCCCCUCCCUGUGCCACUGAUAAGAAGUAUACAAAAAUUUCACAAGACUGCGGCUUCUAAUUGGUCCUCCUGCUCACAUCCAUUAGCAAUGGUCAUUUAUUGUUAGUUAGAUAAAUUAAUUUUCUGGUUCUGUAUUAUAUAGACCCAUCAGAACCCUGGGAAAACAGCUGUAUGUGGGAGCUCCAGGGCUCUAUCUAGGGGAGAGACCCCUUUCUAAAACCAUUUUCCUAGGUGACAAUGCCCCUUUAAUUUAGAAAGCUUACUUGAACAAUAUAAAACAAACAAUGGUACGUAGUAAUUUGAGUGUAGUACACUGAGAAGAGUACUUCUCUACAGAUUAAUUUGCAAAAGCGAUGCAGUUUACAAUAUCGAAAUCUUCUUGAUGAACAUUAAGUGUAGCCAAAUGAUUCAGUCGCACUUAAAUAAAUAAUUGGCCACAGCAAAGCCGGUGUGCAGUCACUCCUGUGCUCAGCACGUGUCAGAGGACUGUUUAUGUAUGAUUUUACUGAAUCACGCCACAGUGCAAAUCAUAGUGCUGUAGAGACGGAAUAUGUUGGGAAGACAAUAGGAUCCCAAUAAUUUAAAGGGGAUGUUCCCCCUUUCAACUUUGCUUAUGCUGCAGUAAUUAUGCCAGUGAAAACAGGUGUACAGGCAGGCCAUUUCCUGGCCCAAUAAGGAUAAAGUGCAUUCCAGUAACCUGGAACCAAACCUGCUGGGCUAAUUACAGUAUAUCAAGUAAAAAGAAGCAUUUUUCUUUCUGUACAAAAUAAAAUGUAAGCAAAUAAUCUGUAACCACACCUACUGACAUAAUUUCAAUAAAAAAAAUGACAAUUUAUAGUCUGCAUGAGAUCUAAAGACAAAUGAAAAAGUCCUGGCAGUAUCCUACCUCAUUCCACUAGUGAAUCCAUUCACCACUGUUUUCAUACUACCUUAUGGUACGAGACCCGCAUAUACGUGCAAGACCCAAUUAGGUUUGAUUUCCAUAUAUGUGAUAUGUGAUAUACUAUGUAUUUUGU